rnacentral:rRNA from 1 species
AGAAUGAACGUUGGCGGCGUGGAUUAGGCAUGCAAGUCGCGCGAUAAGAGUAGCAAUACUUGGACAGCGGCGAAAGGGAGAGUAAUACAUAGGUACGUACCCUUGGGACUGGGAUAGCGGCGGGAAACUGCCGGUAAUACCAGAUGACGUUUCCGAACCAAAGGUGUGAAUCCGCCUGAGGAGCGGCCUAUGUCCUAUUAGCUUGUUGGUGGGGUAACGGCCUACCAAGGCAAAGAUGGGUAUGGGGUGUGAGAGCAUGCCCCCACUCACUGGGACUGAGACACUGCCCAGACACCUACGGGUGGCUGCAGUCGAGAAUCUUCGGCAAUGGACGCAAGUCUGACCGAGCGACGCCGCGUGCGGGAUGAAGGCCUUCGGGUUGUAAACCGCUGUCGUAGAGGAGGAAAUUCUGGUGGGUACUCCCAUCAGAUUGACUGAUUCUAGGAGGAAGGACCGGCUAAUCUCGUGCCAGCAGCCGC